ACUCCUUCCAAACGGCCAUCCCAGCAUGCUUCCAAGCAGGCUUCAUCCGUUCCUCUGGACCCUCAUCUCUUAAGACCUGCCGCCUAUAAAAAGGAUUAUAUCUUGAGACCCUAUCCUCUAAAAUUUUUUCCACACCCAAAACAAAAAAAUCUCUGGGUCAAAAGUCUAAAACGCUUAGGCUGGCAACCAUCAGAUCCUUGCCCAUGGUGUUCUCAAGCCUACUCUUAUGAAAUGGACAACAGUACAUGCAUACAGGGCCAGUUCCACAUAUUUGGCAACCAGACCAGCAUCCAGGACAACACAAAGAUCUGCAAUCAGAACUAUUGAACUUCUCCAUUCAGACCGCCACUCACACCUAUGGGAAAAGGGUGGCCUGCAGGAGCCAAGAAGUCUGGAGCAGCCAAAAAACCACAAAGAAGUGAAACAGCCAGUUC
rnacentral:lncRNA from 1 species